rnacentral:rRNA from 1 species
CAGUCGCCGCGGUAAUACGAAGGGUGCAAGCGUUAGUCGGAAUUACUGGGCGUAAAGCGUGCGUAGGCGGUUUGUUAAGUCUGUUGUGAAAUCCCCGGGCUCAACCUGGGAAUGGCAAUGGAUACUGGCAAGCUAGAGUGUGUCAGAGGAUGGUGGAAUUCCCGGUGUAGCGGUGAAAUGCGUAGAGAUCGGGAGGAACAUCAGUGGCGAAGGCGGCCAUCUGGGACAACACUGACGCUGAGGCACGAAAGCGUGGGGAGCAAACAGGAUUAGAUACCCCGGUAGUCCCUGUCUCUUAUAC